rnacentral:rRNA from 1 species
GACGAACGCUGGCGGCGUGCUUAACACAUGCAAGUCGAACGGAAAGGCCCUGCUUUUGUGGGGUGCUCGAGUGGCGAACGGGUGAGUAACACGUGAGUAACCUGCCCUUGACUUUGGGAUAACUUCAGGAAACUGGGGCUAAUACCGGAUAGGAGCUCCUGCUGCAUGGUGGGGGUUGGAAAGUUUCGGCGGUUGGGGAUGGACUCGCGGCUUAUCAGCUUGUUGGUGGGGUAGUGGCUUACCAAGGCUUUGACGGGUAGCCGGCCUGAGAGGGUGACCGGCCACAUUGGGACUGAGAUACGGCCCAGACUCCUACGGGAGGCAGCAGUGGGGAAUAUGGCACAAUGGGCGGAAGCCUGAUGCAGCAACGCCGCGUGCGGGAUGACGGCCUUCGGGUGGUAAACCGCUUUCGCCUGUGACGAAGCGUGAGUGACGGUAAUGGGUAAAGAAGCACCGGCGAACUACGU